UUCAUAUCUGAAUAUAUGUUUUUAUGUACCUGUCAAAAUUCUUUGGCAGUAGGCUUUUGACAGCACUGUGUAGCCCAACAGUCCCUUUCAAAUAUUUUUUCUGUUUUUCUAUUCAGGUGUGAAGAUUUCCUGCAAGAAGCCUCUCUGAGCUACGUAGCUAUGGUCCAGGAGGAAAAAGAGCCUUGCAAGAAUAAAGUAAUGGAUGAGAUACUUAAUUCUAUUUCUGUAGAAGAGUUUAGUAUUGGCCUUGCCAUGAAAAAAUGAUGGAGUUGCACUGCCAAAUGGAAACAGGAGCAGCUGUGCUACCUCUGGUCUCCUGAGUACACGAAGAAAGCAAACAGCAUUCUUUUAUUGUCCUGGCCUGAAACUGCAAUACAGCAAAGACAAAACUCUUAUUUCUUAAGAUUUUCUUAAGGUACGUUUAAGAAUGCCUUUUUUAAAGUCUCAUGCAGAGCUGGUGCACAUUGCUUAAAGGAAGACUGCAUGUGCUUACUUAAUGUGUACACAUAAGACCUCACAGCACUCUUU
rnacentral:lncRNA from 1 species